ACAGCAGCAGCCACGGGAAUACGAAGGGUGCAAGCGUUACUCGGAAUUACUGGGCGUAAAGCGUGCGUAGGUGGUGGUUUAAGUCCGUUGUGAAAGCCCUGGGCUCAACCUGGGAAUUGCAGUGGAUACUGGGUCACUAGAGUGUGGUAGAGGAUAGUGGAAUUUCCGGUGUAGCAGUGAAAUGCGUAGAGAUCGGAAGGAACAUCUGUGGCGAAGGCGACUAUCUGGGCCAACACUGACACUGAGGCACGAAAGCGUGGGGAGCAAACAGGAUUAGAGACCCCUGUAGUCCCUGUCUCUUAUAC
rnacentral:rRNA from 1 species